UGUAGCAAUACAAGGCAGACGGCUCAGUAACGCGUAGUCAACCUACCCUAUGGACGGGGAUAACCUCGGGAAACUGAGAAUAAUACCCGAUAGAACAUUAUACCUGGAAUGGUUUAUGUUUCAAAUAAUUUAUUGCCGUAGGAUGGGACUGCGGCCUAUCAGUUUGUUGGUGAGGUAAUGGCCCACCAAGACUAUUACAGGUACGGGCUCUGAGAGGAGUAGCCCGGAGAUGGGUACUGAGACACGGACCCAGGCCCUAUGGGGCGCAGCAGGCGAGAAAACUUUGCAAUGUGCGAAAGCACGACAAGGUUAAUCCGAGUGGUUUCUGCUAAAGGAACCUUUUGUUAGUCAUAGAACCACUAAUGAAUAAGGGGUGGGCAAGUUCUGGUGUCAGCCGCCGCGGUAAAACCAGCACCUCAAGUGGUCAGGAUGAUUAUUGGGCCUAAAGCAUCCGUAGCCUGCUUUGUUAGUUUUCGGUUAAAUCCAUACGCUCAACGUAUGGGCUGCCGGGAAUACUGCAAAGCUAGGGAGUGGGAGAGGUGGACGGUACUCGGUAGGAAGGGGUAAAAUCCUUUGAUCUAUUGAUGACCACCUGUGGCGAAGGCGGUCUACCAGAACACGUCCGACGGUGAGGGAUGAAAGCUGGGGGAGCAAACCGGAUUAGAUACCCGGGUAGUCCCAGCUGUAAACUAUGCAAACUCGGUGAUGCAUUGGCUUGAUGCCAAUGCAGUGCCGCAGGGAAGCCGUUAAGUUUGCCGCCUGGGAAGUACGUACGCAAGUAUGAAACUUAAAGGAAUUGGCGGGGGAGCACCACAAGGGGUGAAGCCUGCGGUUCAAUUGGA
rnacentral:rRNA from 1 species